UACGUAGGGUGCAAGCGUUAAUCGGAAUUACUGGGCGUAAAGCGUGCGCAGGCGGUUUUGUAAGUUUGUCGUGAAAUCCCCGGGCUCAACCUGGGAAUGGCGAUGAAGACUGCAAGGCUAGAAUCUGGCAGAGGGGGGUAGAAUUCCACGUGUAGCAGUGAAAUGCGUAGAGAUGUGGAGGAACACCGAUGGCGAAGGCAGCCCCCUGGGUCAAGAUUGACGCUCAUGCACGAAAGCGUGGGGAGCAAAAGGG
rnacentral:rRNA from 1 species